rnacentral:misc_RNA from 1 species
GCAUACGGGCACUUUACACGCCACUUCCGUAGAAAUUUUGUUGUGACAAAAUAUUUAGUUAAAUUAGAAAAUUCGAAAAUGGGAAGAAAAAAGAAGAAGCAGUUAAAGCCAUGGUGUUGGUAUUGCAAUAGAGAGUUUGAUGAUGAGAAGAUCCUGAUUCAGCACCAGAAAGCAAAACAUUUUAAAUGUCACAUAUGUCACAAGAAGCUUUACACAGGACCAGGCUUGUCUAUACAUUGUAUGCAGGUUCACAAAGAGAAAGUAGACAAAGUACCAAAUUCAGUGCCAGGUAGACACAAUAUAGAAAUAGAAAUAUAUGGUAUGGAAGGUAUUCCUGAUGAUGAUCUAAGGGAACAUGAGAGACAAAAACACAAUAAAGCACAAGCAGCUAAAAGUGGAGGUGAAGAGAGUGAUGAGGAAACAAACCAAGGACCCAAGCCUCCAGUGCCUGCAGCCAAUGGCAUUCCUGCACCCCCAGUCCCGACUUCAGUACCAAUGCCCUAUAUGGGCCCUGGAAUGCCUCCUAUGCCUCCACCAAUGGGCAUGGCACAUAUGGGUAUGAGGCCUGGAAUGGGGCCUAUGGGUCCAAUGGGACAUAUGAUGGGUCCAGGUAUGGGUCCAAUGCCACCACGACCGUUUAUGGGAGGUCCAGGCAUGCCAGGACCUGCCGCAGUGCCACCAAUGUCAACAUCCCAAAUGUCAGCACCAUCAAAACCUCUAUUCCCUUCAGCAGCAGCAUCAUCAAGUUCCUCCCCAUCAUCAACAUCCUCAGCACCGACGGCUGGUCCGCCGAAGCCGACAUUCCCAGCAGCUGCCGCCAUCACAUCUUCACCAUCUGCAUCAAAUGGUGCCACAAUUACAGGAGCACCACAGAUAAAGAAACCAGAAUCUAGUUCAGGUUUGACAUCUAAAUUGAUGCACCCUGAUGAAGAUAUCUCCCUGGAGGAGAAAAGGUUAUCUAUGUCAAAGUAUGCCCACUUUGCGGUAAAAGGUUUCACACCUUUGCCACAAAGCAUGGCUGCUCCAACUUCAACCAUGGGUAUGCCGCCCACCUCAGCCAUGGGCAUGGCUCCAAAUCCAGCUAUGGGUAUGGCUCCUAGUAACAUGGGAAUGGGUAUGGGUCCUGGUGCACCAGGGAUGAGACCACCAAUUCCUCCACAAGCAAUGAUGGGUAUGCAGAAUCAGGGAAUGUAUAAUAUGGGUUUCCAAGGAAACAGACCACCAAUGUUCCAAGGACGAUACUGAAAGCAGCCAUUUUGUUGUCUUUGUGAUAAUCGAAAAAGUGCAACCAUUGCUGAUCUAACAUGUGUAAUGCUGUGACAAAAUCACCAGUGAAAUUUGAAGAUGAAGUAGUCAACAGUUUAAAUCAAGGGUAGGUGAAUAAAUGUACUUAAGAGUAGUAAUUUAUUGAUUAUGAAAAUAAUGCUUGCAUGCAGCUUUGGUAGAAAGAAAGAUUAAAGAUAUCAUUUUACAAAAGAUCUUCAUGAUAGUUUGACAAAUCGUCAGUUCCCUCCACCACCACAAGUUAUGCUUAGUAAGAAAGUUCUCAGAUAUGUUGCUACUGGUUAGAAGCUCAGAUGAACUAUUGUGACUCUGUAAUGUUAAGUAAGCUGAAAUUACUAUGAAUUAAGAUAGUGGAUCCGUAAUGUCAGUUGGCAGAUCCUGUGAGAAUGCAUGUUCUAGUAUGCCAUUUCAGCAUUCUGGUCUGGUAAUGUAGCUCAUUAUGGGCACAAAGCAUCUGUAUCAGCUAGGAAAGUUGAAAUUGCAGAAUGCAUAAUCGAAUGGAAAUUGAUGACUGUUAUUAAGGAUCCACUACCUAAAACGUUGUUAUAGAGGCAGUCACAAUAUCCUGAAGAUUUUUCAUACUUUUCUGAAUACUGAGACAAUUAGGCAGUAUUAUAUGGAAGACAAUGGCUUUUCACAUCUAAAUAUUAUGUAACUAAAUGAAAAAUCUGAAGGCAUUGUUGGAUUUUAAACCCCCAACAUCAAGUUGGCGACUGCAAUGAUUUAUAUAAGUGUAAUAACCUGACUUUGGGCAUUUUUAAACAAUGUUUAAAUGAUGCAAUGACGCAUUAGUUCGUACUAAAUUGUGUCCCUUUAAAAUAUUAAUGUGCCUUUGCAACAUCAGUAUGGUCAGAAAGUGCAGUGCAGCAAUCGUGCAGUUAUUGCCAUUUCUUGGUACGAUUGACUGCUGGAUUAGCUCAGUGUGUUAAGCAAAAUUGAGAGGUUGCAAGUUUGGCCACAUGGGGCUAGAAAAUGCCAGUAGGAUUUGACAGCAGAAAUCUGGUCAUUUAUCCUCCACUUGUGACCUAUGCAAGGAAAUUUACAAGGCAGCCAUAUGUUGGAAUCUGGUAUAAUCUGUUACCAAAAAUGUUGGUUAGAAAUAUUACAAGAUGAAAUAAUUUUAACAAUUAUCCAUGUGCAUCAGAUAUAUUGAUAAAGAAAAAUAUUAGAAAAUUUGCUUAGAUUGUGAUACAUAUAUACAAAGUGAAAUCAGUUGCCUGCUGAUGAAGAAAGAUUUAGGUCUGAUGAAUUUUCUAGACCAUAGUCUUGCAAAAGGUUUCCAACAGUUUUUGGCACAUUGAGAAAAUUUAGAUUUCUGUACAUUUUCCUGUUGAGAUAUUCUAUUACAGCAGUACACUUGGAUUAGAACUGACUUAUGAAUGAAGGCAAAAGUUCACAAAGAAUAUGACAAAAGGGAUAUGAAAAUGAUAUUCAGAUAUGCAGAUUUCUCACUUUUGAUACAAAUUCAGUUUAAACCUCUUGAUUUUGCAGCAUGUCAUUAAUGUUAAUGUAUUUGCAGAGGAAAACUUUUAAAGAAAUGUCUUAUGUUCUCAUACAGGCAACCAAAAAAUUUGUAUGUACUUGAUGAAUUACUUUCUCAAGUUUUAGAUAUUCCAGUAUCGUGUAAACGUAGAACUUUAGUCCACAGGUACACUACACCCAGGAACAGGAUGUUGUACAGCAGCCAUUUGGGGUCUCAGAUCUUGUUUAUAUGAAACAUUGUACGAACUAAAUUGUGAACUGUAUACACAGUAAUAUAAAGUUAUGAUUACACCUUGUAAUAUGUGAUAGUUUUGUGUGACAUUUAAGGUAAUAAACACUGUGCUAAAUAUGUUCUUGUAAUAGUUUUAUCAAAAAACUCUAUUUCUGAGGAUUAGUUUUGUUGUAAACUUUUUAUCAUUUUAUAUGCCAGUAGUGUCAAUUUUUGUUUCUUUAAACGUUAUUGCGAUAAAAAUGGAUAAAAAUUAAAGACGAUUUUGCUUAAA